GGAGGGGUGCCGGAGUGGUUGAUCGGGGCGGUCUCGAAAACCGUUGUGGUGCGUAUGCGCCACCGUGGGUUCGAAUCCCACCCCCUCCGCCA
rnacentral:tRNA from 1 species